rnacentral:rRNA from 1 species
GUAGGCUGCAACUCGCCUACAUGAAGCUGGAAUUGCUAGUAAUGGCAGGUCAGCAUACUGCCGUGAAUACGUUCCCGGGCCUUGUACACACCGCCCGUCACACCAUGAGAGUUGGAAAUACCCGAAGCCUGUGAGCUAACUUUUAGAGGCAGCAGUCGAAGGUAGAGCCAAUGAUUGGGGUGAAGUCGUAACAAGGUACC